UACGUAGGGUGCGAGCGUUGUCCGGAAUUAUUGGGCGUAAAGAGCUCGUAGGCGGUUUGUCGCGUCGAUCGUGAAAACCCAUCGCUUAACGGUGGGCGUGCGGUCGAUACGGGCAGACUUGAGUUCGGUAGGGGAGACUGGAAUUCCUGGUGUAGCGGUGAAAUGCGCAGAUAUCAGGAGGAACACCGGUGGCGAAGGCGGGUCUCUGGGCCGAUACUGACGCUGAGGAGCGAAAGCGUGGGGAGCGAACA
rnacentral:rRNA from 1 species